UGAACCUGCGGAAGGAUCAUUUU
rnacentral:rRNA from 1 species